AAGAGUCUGCAACUAUGAAUUUGAAUGUCAUAGAUCCAAAUGAAGUACCACCUUCGACCAGAGGUCACCGGGAAACAAAGCUGACAACGCUAGCUGUAGGGAAGACAGACAUAGGAACUGCGAAACCGAAUCCAGGC